UUUCACCUACGGGACGCAGCAGUGAGUUAUAUUGGUUUUUGGGCGGCCGCCUGAACCAGCCACGUCGCGUGAGGGAAUAAGGCCCUACGGGUCGUAAACCUCUUUUGCCGGGGAGCAAGGGCCGGGACGCGUCCCGGCCCGGAGAGUACCCGGAGAAAAAGCAUCGGCUAACUCCGUGCCAGCAGCCGCGGUAAUACGGAGGAUGCGAGCGUUAUCCGGAUUUAUUGGGUUUAAAGGGUGCGUAGGCGGGCUUUUAAGUCAGCGGUAAAAAUUCGGGGCUCAACCCCGUCCGGCCGUUGAAACUG
rnacentral:rRNA from 1 species